rnacentral:rRNA from 1 species
UCUCUCUGAAUCUGCGAACGGCUCCGCACACCAGUUGUAAACCAAAGCAAGCAAGCCCGGUCUCGACGCCUUUCGGGGCUAGGGGCCGGGCUACAAGGAUAACCCUGGUAAUUCUGAGGCUAAUACUUGACACGAACCUGCUGACUGGGUCUCGGCUCGGGAGGUGGGGGAUGUGCGACUAUCGGGCCAACGAAACCGGAAAGAGCGCACGUUCAGACCACUUAAAAAGGCUUCGGGGUCCCUCGGGAUCCCGGGGCUGUGGCUCUUGCAGCGUGCUUCUGACCUAUCAACUAGACGGCAGCCUAAGGGACAUGCUUUGGUGACAACGGGUACAGAGGAUAAGGGUUCGAUCCUGGAGAGUGGGCCUGAGAGAUU